AGGUUUCUAAGCCUCUGGCUGUGGUCUUAUUGCUGCCCGGACCGCCUUUUCUCGUUUUCUGGAUGCUGCUAAGGUUUUUCGAUUCAGUUCAGAGGUCACCUUCCCCAAGGGGCCUUCCCUGUCUCUCUCAGCUGUGGUGGGUCCAUCUUCUCUGGACAUCUGGACGCUCAUGUCACCCGUGGUAGGUAGCUGCCACCUGCAUUUGCCUCCCUAGGUGGUAACCUCCUCAAGGUCAAGGUCCUGUUCCUCUCUGCAUCUCCAGGGGGGAACAGCACCUGGCGCCCAGUAGAGGCCCCACUGAUGUUUAUAGAACUGGAUGGUUCCUUCGCACGGCAUUUGUCCAGGACCUGCGAUAAGCUGGGCGCUUUUCUAAGUACUUUGCAGGGAUGUCGUACGUGGAUGAGGAAAUCGAGGCCUGAAGAGCACGAAGGUUAAUUUGAUGUGUCCACCUCGUCAGGCUACAAGCGCAGUUGGCGCAGUUGUUUGGUCUGCCAUCAGUCUGGAUGUAAUAAAGGUAUUUUUCAGACGCGAUUAACAUUUCUAUCAGUCAACUUGGAGUAAAGCAGAUUACUCUUCAUAAUAGGGUGGGCCUUACGUGAUCAGUUGAAGGCCAGGUGAAAAAGGACUGAGGUCCCCCAUGGAGGAAGGGAUUCUGCCUCCAGAAUGCCUUUAGACUCAGUGGCAAUAUCAACUGUUAGCUGAAUUUCCAGCCUGCCCGCCUGCCUGCCUGCCCUGUGGAUUUCAGACUUGCCAGCCUCCACAGCCAGGGGGGGGCGAUGCCUUAAAAUAGAUCUCUCUGAGUUUCUCCACAUGUAUCUCAUGGGUUCAUUUGCUCUGAGGAAGCCUGACUAAUAGAGAGAAGUGUGUGCCCCAACAUGGUUAACUGGGGUUGACUUUAGGUCUGACACUACAGCCUAGGCUCUUCCGUCCCAGUCUGUCGCCUCUUCACAUUGGACGGAUAGAGGGGAGCCCAGUCGGGGAGGAUCCGAACGCUGUGUUUUUUGUCCAUGACACAUCUGUCUUGAGCAAUCAGCUUGGAGCUUUGCGUGAACUGUGUUGAUCAAACGGGUUGUGUAUUUACCGAAUCUCCUUUUGCUUUUGUCCAGCAAACAGAAAUGUUUAUUCCGUUAAAAAGCACAAAUGCUAAGUGGGGCAAUAUGAGGGGAACACCCAGUCCUUUAAAGACGCGGAGAUUUUCGUUGGCAGAACAUUAAAAGUGAGAGAUGUUGCUUUCAGGUCUUAGGAGCAAGGCCAUUUUUCAUCUCUGUGUCAUACUGUGGCUCUGCAGCUCAGAAACAGCAGCACCACCCAAACGUCCACUCCCAUGUGGAUCACUGUCUGCCUUCCAGAGAAUUCCAUCCCAGGACGGGACCUGUGUGAUGGCGAGCCACCGAGAAAGGCAGGCGGGGGAACUGCCCUUUAGUGGGAAGCUAACAUUUCUUUUUUUUUUUUUUUUUACCUUAAGCCUUACUAGCCCUUAAACGGGCUUAUGCCAUUCUGCGAAUGACUAAGCAGAGCCCGGAGGGAAGCGGCAGCUUGCUUUGAUGGAGAAACAUAUUCAAGACGUAAUUUGUGAACAUCUGCUCUGUGCCAGGCCCUGAGCUGAGUUGCUGAGGAUUCCAUGGUGAGGGAGCUGUCGCCUAUAAACCUUUGCCCGCUGACCACAGCUCCAUCCCGAAAAAUCCUGGGUGAUGAGUACAAAUACCUAGCAUCUUUAUGUUCUAGAGUUGUUACGCUUUAUUUCCUGAGUUGUUUGGGGGUCUUUGUGGACAGCCUACAAUGUAGUCACUAGGUUCAAAACAAUGUAGCUAAGCCACAUCUCCUUCCUCUCUUGCCGUGGUGUCCUCAGCACAGAGUAACUGUUCAAUAAAUGAGAGCCAUUGUUAA